GGGCGUAAGGGCUUCGCAGGCGGUUUUUUAAGUCUGAAGUGUGAAAGCCCCCGGCUUCAACCGGGGAGGGUCAUUGGAAACUUGGGAAACUUGAGUGCAGAAGAGGAGAGUGGAAUUCCACGUGUAGCGGUGAAAUGCGUAGAGAUGUGGAGGAACACCAGUGGCGAAGGCGACUCUCUGGUCUGUAACUGACGCUGAGGAGCGAAAGCGUGGGGAGCGAACAGGAUUAGAUACCCUGGUAGUCCACGCCGUAAACGAUGAGUGCUAAGUGUUAGGGGGUUUCCGCCCCUUAGUGCUGCAGCUAACGCAUUAAGCACUCCGCCUGGGGAGUACGGUCGCAAGACUGAAACUCAAAGGAAUUGACGGGGGCCCGCACAAGCGGUGGAGCAUGUGGUUUAAUUCGAAGCAACGCGAAGAACCUUACCAGGUCUUGACAUCCUCUGACAACCCUAGAGAUAGGGCUUUCCCUUCGGGGACAGAGUGACAGGUGGUGCAUGGUUGUCGUCAGCUCGUGUCGUGAGAUGUUGGGUUAAAGUCCAGCACGAGCGCAACCCUUGAUCUU
rnacentral:rRNA from 1 species